rnacentral:misc_RNA from 1 species
GAUGAAGAACGCAGCGAAAUGCGAUAAGUAGUGUGAAUUGCAGAAUUCAGUGAAUCAUCGAAUCUUUGAACGCACAUUGCGCCCCAUGGUAUUCCGUGGGGCAUGCCUGUUCGAGCGUCAUUUACCCCCUCAAGCUCCGCUUGGUGUUGGGCGUCUGUCCCGCUUCGCGCGCGGACUCGCCCCAAAGGUAUUGGCAGCGGUCGUGCCAGCUUCUCGCGCAGCACAUUGCGCUUCUCGAGGCACCGGUGGGCCCGCGUCCAUCAAGCUCACCCCCCCAGUUUGCCCUCGGAUCAGGUAGGGAUACCCGCUGAACUUAAGCAUAUCAAUAAGCGGAGGA